UUAUUAUCGCUGCUGGAUGGCGAUACUUCCUCUUUUUCUUUCUAGCAGCUUAGGCUGUACUCUAACUAUUACAAAGUCCAAACACCAGAUACAAGGAAAAGAGUGGUCAGGGAAUGUUCAGUUUUUCUUUUCUUACUGAGCCCACCUAUUAUGGAACCAUUAAAAUACUUACUAAGAGUAUGAAGUGAUAUGAAAUAAUGCGUAUGUUAGAUUUAAGAGGCAAAGUAUAAAUUCAUAAAUAGUAGAAUCAUAUUUUAAAGCACUCAAAUGAAGGAGGAGAAAAAGGACCAGAAGAAAUUACAACCUAUCACCUGUAUUUGGAUAAUAGCGUUAUGUUACUUUUUUCUUUUUGCUGUAUUUUCUAAUUUUUUCUGAAAAAAAUUAUGCUGUUUUUGCACUGGGAAAUAUUUAAAAGCAUUUCUAAGGAAACAGUCAAUCUUAUAAGGAUUUCUUUAUGAAGAUAGACAUCACAACAACACUGCUUCUAUUGAAGAGAAAUUGGCAUCCAACGAUAGGACACUUGCUCUUGGAACCCAACUGUCAUGCGGCAAGGAAGCCCAAACUAACCACAAGGAGAGGCCACACGUUGGUGUGACAGCUAACAGCUGUAGUUGAGAUCCCAAGUGACAGCAUGCAUCAACUUCCGGACUUGUGACAGCAUCAGCAUCACCUUCACAUUUUUUAGCCUCAGACUUUGAGUCUUCCCAGUGACACUCCAGACUCUGGGUGGCAGAGAUGCCAGCCCCACUGUGCCCCGUCUGAAUUCCUGACCCACAUAAUCAAAAUGUGCAUUAGUGAGCAAGCCAUGACGUCAUACUGCUGGAAUGCUGCAAUUAGCCCAACUCUUGCCUGCUGGUUAGAGAAAGUUUUCAUCUCAGAAGAAGGAGUCUCUCAGAAUCACUGUUCUUUUGUACGGUAUGACUGAGAUCCUACUGGAGGCUGCUACCACUCACCAAGCAACUCAGGCUCGGUUUACUCUACUUUUCAUAAUACGUGUGGGUUUGAGACUCCUCAUUUGUCUUCACUCACACAGUCUGAGAGAUGCAGAAAAAGUUUGCUGAAUAUUGAGUUUUGUCAAACAUAAAGGAUGAUAUUCUGCUUCAUUUUAUAAAUAAAAUAUGACAAUGCCUGGCAAGACUGACUGAACUUUUGUCUUGAUGACUCAGCCAAGGCUCAGGAUCCUCCACUCUUGUCAGCUGUCUGGUUUGAUUCUGCUGCCGCUGUCACUCCUGCCUGUGAAUCCAGUGACGCCUCUGGAACAGAACAUUAUUGGAUACUGAUUGACUACUUGGGUAAAAUAACAGCCUGAGGGGAAUUCUACUUCUGAAGGAAGGCAUGGCAGUGUCUGGCUUUGAAAUCUUCUCCAAAGGAUUCCUAAGGGAAUAGCUGUAAAUUUCUCACUUUCAGGAAUACUGAAAUGCUACUCCUUGGCCUAAGUUAGCCUUAUUGUAGACAGGAGUCAUUGACCUUCGAAUGAUAUCCGGGUGGGGUCUUGUUUCGAUGUUUUUAGCAACUUUGAAGAAAAAGAGAUCUUGGGUUUGGCUGUUAAGUCUAGAAAUAUUAAUUUCUGGGAGUAAAAUUACU